rnacentral:tRNA from 1 species
GCCCCCGUAGCCCAACUGGCAGAGGCAGCCGGCUUAAACCCGGCCAAGUCCCGGUUCGAACCCGGGCGGGGGCA